rnacentral:rRNA from 1 species
UACGUAGGGGGCAAGCGUUGUCCGGAAUUAUUGGGCGUAAAGGGCGCGCAGGCGGUCUUUUAAGUCUGAUGUGAAAGCCCGCGGCUUAACCGCGGCAGGUCAUUGGAAACUGAAGGACUUGAGUACAGAAGAGGAGAGUGGAAUUCCACGUGUAGCGGUGAAAUGCGUAGAGAUGUGGAGGAACACCAGUGGCGAAGGCGACUCUCUGGGCUGUAACUGACGCUGAGGCGCGAAAGCGUGGAUAGCGAACAGG